rnacentral:tRNA from 1 species
GCCCGGUUACCUCAUCCGGAAGAGCGUUGGACUUUUAAUCCAACGGACAAGGGUUCAAGCUCCCUCAUCGGGCU